rnacentral:rRNA from 1 species
AACCUCCGCAAUGUGAGAAAUCGCGACGGGGGGAUCCCAAGUGCCAUUCUUAACGGGAUGGCUUUUCAUUAGUGUAAAGAGCUUUUGGAAUAAGAGCUGGGCAAGACCGGUGCCAGCCGCCGCGGUAACACCGGCAGCUCUAGUGGUAGCAAUUUUUAUUGGGCCUAAAGCGUCCGUAGCCGGUUUAAUAAGUCUCUGGUGAAAUCCUGUAGCUUAACUGUGGGAAUUGCUGGAGAUACUAUUAGACUUGAGACCGGGAGAGGUUAGAGGUACUCCCAGGGUAGAGGUGAAAUUCUGUAAUCCUGGGAGGACCGCCUGUUGUGAAGGCGUCUAACUGGAACGGUUCUGACGGUGAGGGACGAAAGUUAGGGGCGCGAACCGGAUUAGAUACCCGGGUAGUCCUAACUGUAAACGAUGCGGACUUGGUGUUGGGGUGGCUUUGAGCUGCUUCAGUGCCGAAGGGAAGCUGUUAAGUCCGCCGCCUGGGAAGUACGGUCGCAAGACUGAAACUUAAAGGAAUU